GGCCUGGGGCUCGGUCACUCAGGCACAGCUGGGGGAGCUCAUGGGCGCGUCACUGCAACUCCCCCUGGCUUCUGCUCCGUGGCUGCUGAGGGAGCCCUCAUCUGGGACUCUCCUCAGCUCUUACUGGAACAGUGGCGCGGCUGCCCCUCUGUUGGUCUUCCAUGGUCUCUUGUGUUCUGGGGGCCUCUGGAUGUCUGGAGUUUUGAUCUCCUCCAUACCCGCUUCACACCCCGGAGGACGGGGCUGUGGCCCCCCCACACACUCCCUAGCAGAUCAUUACACGGAGAAACCUUUGGAAUACAAGCGCGCUGAUCCACACAGGUAUGCACACGGGUGUUCACUGCUCGUAGACCCAAAUUACACCUUUCUUGGCUGCUACUUCGAAGCACAUCUGUCCUGCGUGCUGCACAACAACAUUGAAUAUUUAGUAUUUACUGCUGUUUACACUUAGCUAGAUUAAUGCGAUGGUGUUGUGUUUAGUAUGUUGCUUUGUUUUUUUUUCUGCUUGUUUUCUAUUCCUCUCUCAACAGGUGAUCCAGGAGAUUUUUAUUUUUUUUCUCCCCCCCUUUCUCACUGUCCCUCUCCCCUUCUGUUUUUCCUUUCCUUCCUCUUUCUUUCUCCCUUUCCUAUCCCUCACUCAUGUCUGUCCCGUCUGUAACAUCUGAAAAUAAAAUAUAAUAAAUAAUAAAAACAAAGAUCGACCAAAUGGACCAAUACGGCAAUGCCACGAUGAUCCAUUUGGCAAAGUAAAUCCAUUGGGUAUCCUUGUUGGUCUUCAGACAACAAUUCUGAUGGCUAAAGAACCAAAUGGGACAGGCAAAAAAAAAAAAAAAGAAAAAAAAAAAAAAGAAAUGCUGUUUCAAAGGAAGCAUCCUUUGAAACAGACACUAACAUGAAAACAGGUUCAGCAGCUUUACAUUCUCUAAAAUGGAGAACAGACACUAGAUAUGGAAGAAAAAACAAGAUGGCAGUUGCUUCAUGACGGGAAGCCAAGAAAGUAGAAAACAAGAAAAGAGCUCUGAUACUGCUGAGCAGAGGAGUCAAGUAUGUGAGAAAUGAUUUUUAUUAUAUC
ensembl:lncRNA